GCCUGGGUGGCUCAGUCGGUUAAGCGUCCGACUUCAGCUCGGGUCACGAUCUCGCGGUCCGUGAGUUCGAGCCCCGCCUCGGGCU
rnacentral:tRNA from 1 species